rnacentral:rRNA from 1 species
GAUGAACGCUGGCGGCGUGCUUAACACAUGCAAGUCGAACGGAAAGGCCCUGCUUUUGUGGCUUUCUCGAUUGGCGAAGGGGGGAGUAACACGUGAGUAACCUCCCCUUAACUUUGGGAUAACUUCAGGAAACUGGGGCUAAUACCGGAGAGAAUCUCCUGCUGCGUGGUGUUGGUUGGAAAGUUUCGGCGGUGCGGGAUGGACUCGCGGCUUAUCAGCUUGUUGGUGUGGUAGUUGCUUACCAAGGCUUUGACGGAUAGCCGGCCUGGGAGGGUGAACGGCCACAUUGGUCCUGAGAUACGCCCCAGACUGCUACGGGAGGCAGCAGUGGGGAAUAUGGCACAAUGGGGGGACGCCUGUUGCAGCAACGUCGCGUGCGGGAUGACGGCUUUCUGGUGGUAAACCGAUUUCGCAGGUGACGAAGCGAGCGUGACGGUAACGGGUAAAGAAGCAACGGCUAACUACGUG